UGCUGUUGAUAUGCAAACAGUGAUCAAUAUGAUGAAUGACAAUCCGUACAUUCAGGAAAUCAUACACAUGAAAGGUAAACCUCCCAUGGUUAUUUUAUACACAGAUGACCAAUUGAAAGAUGUGAAAAACUUUUGCAUUGGCCAUGAGAGUAAAUCGAUUCUUGGACGGACCUUUUAACGUUGGAGCGUGUUUUGUAACAUUGACUGUUUUUAAAAACACCCAUUUAUUGCAACGAUCAUCUCAAUCACCACCAAUAAUGUUAGGCCCUGUGUUCUUUCAUUGGGAUGGAAGUUGUUCUACAUAUCAAUGUUUCUUCUCCCACAUAUGAACAAAAUUGGACACCAAUAUUAACACUGAGAUUGGUCUUUGUGACAUUGUUGUUGGUUCAGAUGAGGAAAAAGCUAUCCUGAAG